AGUCGAANGAUAGUGAAGGGCUUGCUCUUNNCGAAAGUGGCGCACGGGUGCGUAACGCGUAUGCAACCUACCUUAAUNNGGGGGAUAGCCCGAAGAAAUUCGGAUUAACACCGCAUAAAAUCACAGUACAGCAUUGUACAAUGAUCAAAUAUUUAUAGGAUUAAGAUGGGCAUGCGUGUCAUUAGUUAGUUGGCGAGGUAACGGCUCACCAAGACCACGAUGACUAGGGGAUCUGAGAGGAUGACCCCCCACACUGGUACUGAGACACGGACCAGACUCCUACGGGAGGCAGCAGUAAGGAAUAUUGGUCAAUGGAGGCAACUCUGAACCAGCCAUGCCGCGUGCAGGAAGACAGCCCUCUGGGUCGUAAACUGCUUUUAUUCGGGAAUAAACCUACUUACGUGUAAGUAGCUGAAUGUACCGAAGGAAUAAGGAUCGGCUAACUCCGUGCCAGCAGCCGCGGUAAUACGGAGGAUCCAAGCGUUAUCCGGAUUUAUUGGGUUUAAAGGGUGCGUAGGCGGCUUAUUAAGUCAGGGGUGAAAGACGGUGGCUCAACCCAUCGCAGUGCCCUUGAUACUGAUGAGCUUGAAUACACUAGAGGUAGGCGGAAUGUGACAAGUAGCGGUGAAAUGCAUAGAUAUGUCACAGAACACCGAUUGCGAAGGCAGCUUACUAUGGUGUCAUUGACGCUGAGGCACGAAAAGCGUGGGGAUCAAACAGGAUUAGAUACCCUGGUAGUCCACGCCCUAAACGAUGAAUACUCGCUGUUAGCGAUACACAGUUAGCGGCUAAGCGAAAGCGUUAAGUAUUCCACCUGGGGAGUACGCCCGCAAGGGUGAAACUCAAAGGAAUUGACGGGGGCCCGCACAAGCGGAGGAGCAUGUGGUUUAAUUCGAUGAUACGCGAGGAACCUUACCCGGGCUUGAAAGUUAGUGAAUGAUCUAGAGAUAGGUCAGUGAGCAAUCACACGAAACUAGGUGCUGCAUGGCUGUCGUCAGCUCGUGCC
rnacentral:rRNA from 1 species